UAGGGAAUCUUCCGCAAUGGGCGAAAGCCUGACGGAGCAACGCCGCGUGAGUGAUGAAGGUCUUCGGAUCGUAAAACUCUGUUAUUAGGGAAGAACAAAUGUGUAAGUAACUAUGCACGUCUUGACGGUACCUAAUCAGAAAGCCACGGCUAACUACGUGCCAGCAGCCGCGGUAAUACGUAGGUGGCAAGCGUUAUCCGGAAUUAUUGGGCGUAAAGCGCGCGUAGGCGGUUUUUUAAGUCUGAUGUGAAAGCCCACGGCUCAACCGUGGAGGGACAUUGGAAACUGGAAAACUUGAGUGCAGAAGAGGAAAGUGGAAUUCCAUGUGUAGCGGUGAAAUGCGCAGAGAUAUGGAGGAACACCAGGGGCGAAGGCGACUUUCUGGUCUGUAACUGACGCUGAUGUGCGAAAGCGUGGGGAUCAAACAGG
rnacentral:rRNA from 1 species